CUUUGCUGGAAAAGAAAACAGCAGAAGCCAAGGUAAAUAACAUCUUUGUGUGGCGUGUUGCAGCUGUCACAGCCGCCAGCAGACAGCCGACUCCCUCACCAGUAAACACCGCGGCUUAGGUGUUGCCCACCGGGCACCGGAAGGCGGCCCCCUUCUCGCUCUCCAGUGAAUGUUCCUAAAACAACUGCGGGGUCCAAGAGCACAGGGAGAACAGCGCCCCUGACGCAGGCUGCGCACCCGCCCGGAGGAGGCAGUGCGUCAGUCCUGAGGUCACCGCCACCCGCUCCCGGGGGACGGCCGCCUGGGCAGGUGAGGAGGCGACCACCUCCCAGACGCCUGCCGGAGCUGCGGCGCACCGACUCCCUGCUUCUCCGAGCGGCGAGCGCCACCUGGAGGCUCCCUCGAGAUCUGCAUUUAGGAGGCGACGGGUCCUUUCAUCGUUUUAUUCAUUAAACAUUUAUCGAGGCCUGGAGCGAUGGUUCAAGCCUGUAAUCCCAGCACUUUGGGAGACCGAGACGGGCGGAUCACUUGAGGUCAGGAGUUGGAGACCAGCCUGGCCAACAUGGCGAAACCCCAUCUCUACUAAAAAUACAAAAAUUAGCCGGGCACGGUGGCGCACACCUGUAAUCCCAGCUACUCAUGAUGAGGCUGAGGCACAAGAAUCGCUUGAACCCGAGAGGCGGAAGUUGCAGUGAGCGGAGAUGGAGCCACUGUGUGUUAGGCUCUGGCGACGUGGGGAGAAAUAAAGAUAAUGUCUUGUUUC
rnacentral:lncRNA from 10 species